AGGCACGUGGCUCAGUGGUAGAGCACUUCCUUGACACGGAAGGGGUCGAUGGUUCAAUUCCAUCCGUGCCUACCA
rnacentral:tRNA from 1 species